GGGUAUAGCGCAAUUGAUAGAGCAACGGUCUCCAAAACCGUAGGUUGUGGGUUUGAGUCCCUCUACCC
rnacentral:tRNA from 1 species